rnacentral:lncRNA from 1 species
CUUCAGUCAGCUUUUAAGCUUUAUCAUAUUUAAAUGUAUUCCUUUAUCCAUGAUUUAUAAUUUUAUUAAAAAAAAUAGGAUUGUUGGGGAGAAUCAUUCUGGUGCUGAAAAAUAUUGAUGAUUGAUUAUAAUUCACAUAAAAAAGUUAGUUCAUAGAUUUGAGUGAAUAUGGAAUAGAGGUAAUCAUACUCUUGUCUUCAAUGAAAAUUAAUUUAUUCUUUUUUCUUUCUACUUCAGCAACUUCACAACUAUUUCACAGGGACUCUUGGAAUUCCAAUUUGGGGUUCAUAUUUCAUCUUUGUUAUAGCCACACUGAUGAUUGGCCUUAUCCUUGGUCUGAUACUAGUUUUACUUGCAGACUGCUUUUGUCCACCUAAACCAAGAGAUGGAAUAGAUCAAUCUGAAUUAAUUGAAAAGGAGAAGGAAGCUCUGAUAGUUGAAGAUCUAGGAAUUUCAGAGGGAAAAAAAGACCUUUCAGAUGAAGAGGAAGAGAAAGAUGAUCUCUCAGAGGGAGAAGACGACAAAGAAGAUGUUUCAGAACGAGAAGAGGAAAGAAGCAAUUCAAAUGAUGAAACUUCUGAAGAUGACUCUGCAGUGGAUGAAGGAUCAGCAACUGAAGAUGCAGGGAAUAUCCCGGACCAACAGUUGACUGAUGUGGAGGCUGAAAGCUCAGUGAGGCAGCGCAAAAGUCAUGUUGCUGAUGGAGAACAGUAA